rnacentral:rRNA from 1 species
GACGAACGCUGGCGGCGUGCUUAACACAUGCAAGUCGAACGGAAAGGCCCUGCUUUUGUGGGGUGCUCGAGUGGCGAACGGGUGAGUAACACGUGAGUAACCUGCCCUUGACUUUGGGAUAACUUCAGGAAACUGGGGCUAAUACCGGAUAGGAGCUCCUGCUGCAUGGUGGGGGUUGGAAAGUUUCGGCGGUUGGGGAUGGACUCGCGGCUUAUCAGCUUGUUGGUGGGGUAGUGGCUUACCAAGGCUUUGACGGGUAGCCGGCCUGAGAGGGUGACCGGCCACAUUGGGACUGAGAUACGGCCCAGACUCCUACGGGAGGCAGCAGUGGGGAAUAUUGCACAAUGGGCGGAAGCCUGAUGCAGCAACGCCGCGUGCGGGAUGACGGCCUUCGGGUUGUAAACCGCUUUCGCCUGUGACGAAGCGUGAGUGACGGUAAUGGGUAAAGAAGCACCGGCUAACUACGUGCCAGCAGCCGCGGUGAUACCUAGGGUGCGAGCGUUGUCCCGAUUUAUUGGGCGUAAAGGGCUCGUAGGUGGUUGAUCGCGUCGGAAGUGUAAUCUUGGGGCUUAACCCUGAGCGUGCUUUCGAUACGGGUUGACUUGAGGAAGGUAGGGGAGAAUGGAAUUCCUGGUGGAGCGGUGGAAUGCGCAGAUAUCAGGAGGAACACCAGUGGCGAAGGCGGUUCUCUGGGCCUUUCCUGACGCUGAGGAGCGAAAGCGUGGGGAGCGAACAGGCUUAGAUACCCUGGUAGUCCACGCUGUAAACGGUGGGUACUAGGUGUGGGGUCCAUUCCACGGGUUCCGUGCCGUAGCUAACGCUUUAAGUACCCCGCCUGGGGAGUACGGCCGCAAGGCUAAAACUCAAAGGAAUUGACGGGGCCCCGCACAAGCGGCGGAGCAUGCGGAUUAAUUCGAUGCAACGCGUAGAACCUUACCUGGGUUUGACAUGGAUCGGGAGCGCUCAGAGAUGGGUGUGCCUCUUUUGGGGUCGGUUCACAGGUGGUGCAUGGCUGUCGUCAGCUCGUGUCGUGAGAUGUUGGGUUAAGUCCCGCAACGAGCGCAACCCUUGUUCACUGUUGCCAGCACGUUAUGGUGGGGACUCAGUGGAGACCGCCGGGGUCAACUCGGAGGAAGGUGGGGAUGACGUCAAGUCAUCAUGCCCCUUAUGUCCAGGGCUUCACGCAUGCUACAAUGGCUGGUACAGAGAGUGGCGAGCCUGUGAGGGUGAGCGAAUCUCGGAAAGCCGGUCUCAGUUCGGAUUGGGGUCUGCAACUCGACCUCAUGAAGUCGGAGUCGCUAGUAAUCGCAGAUCAGCAACGCUGCGGUGAAUACGUUCCCGGGGCU